UGGGGGAUAUUGCACAAUGGAGGAAACUCUGAUGCAGCAACGCCGCGUGAAGGAUGAAGGUCUUCGGAUUGUAAACUUUUGUACUUGGGGACGAUAAUGACGGUACCCAAGCAGCAAGCUCCGGCUAACUACGUGCCAGCAGCCGCGGUAAUACGUAGGGAGCAAGCGUUGUCCGGAUUUACUGGGUGUAAAGGGUGCGUAGGCGGCCAUACAAGUCAGUUGUGAAAACUAUGGGCUCAACCCAUAGCCUGCAAUUGAAACUGCGUGGCUUGAGUGAAGUAGAGGUAGGUGGAAUUCCCGGUGUAGCGGUGAAAUGCGUAGAGAUCGGGAGGAACACCAGUGGCGAAGGCGACCU
rnacentral:rRNA from 1 species